UGCCAAGCUCUGAUUCACACUUAGUUGUACAUCAUGUCCUUGAAACAGUUCAAUUCAACACUCGUCUAGCUGAAGUUAAAUCAACCUGAUCUGCUAUAUAGAGACAUGGUGGGUUUUCUCUGCCUUCUCCUCUUUCUGACUGCUCUACAAGUGGAGGGUUUCAGUAGGGGAGGAUCUUCCAUUGCUUCUCAGUGUGGCUCAAUGCUACCUGGUAAUAGUUUUCAUGGCAGCACAGGGCAGAGCUCUUCCUCACCAUACACUGUCACUGUCAACCAGACCACCUACCAGCCAGGAGACACCAUCCAAGUGACUCUGUCAGGAAAAGUCAGCUAUAAAGGGUUUCUUCUGGAGGCCCAUGAGGAAGGACAGAACACCGCUGUGGGAACGUUCUCUCUCGGCAGUAGGACUGGGAUCGUUCUUGUGCCGUGCAA